ACACACAAACACACACACACACACAACACUCAAGUGCAGAGACUGAGUCAAUCACAGUUGUUCUGUGGCUUUGAGUGUGUGUUUGUGUGUGUUUGUGUGU